rnacentral:rRNA from 1 species
AUUGAACGCUGGCGGAAUGCUUUACACAUGCAAGUCGAACGGCAGCACGGGUGCUUGCACCUGGUGGCGAGUGGCGAACGGGUGAGUAAUACAUCGGAACGUACCCUGACGUGGGGGAUAACGUAGCGAAAGUUACGCUAAUACCGCAUCCGUCCUGAGGGAGAAAGCAGGGGAUCGUAAGACCUUGCGCGUUACGAGCGUCCGAUGGCGGAUUAGCUAGUUGGUAGGGUAAAGGCCUACCAAGGCGACGAUCCGUAGCGGGUCUGAGAGGACGACCCGCCACACUGGAACGGAGACACGGUCCAGACUCCUACGGGAGGCAGCAGUGGGGAAUUUUGGACAAUGGGCGAAAGCCUGAUCCAGCCAUUCCGCGUGAGUGAAGAAGGCCUUCGGGUUGUAAAGCUCUUUCGGCAGGGAAGAAACGGCUUUGGAUAAUACCCAGAACUAAUGACGGUACCUGAAGAAGAAGCACCGGCUAACUACGUGCCAGCCGCCGCCGUAA